rnacentral:rRNA from 1 species
UGGGGAAUAUUGCACAAUGGGCGGAAGCCUGAUGCAGCAACGCCGCGUGAGUGAUGAAGGCCUUCGGGUUGUAAAGCUCUGUCUUUUGGGACGAUAAUGACGGUACCAAAGGAGGAAGCCACGGCUAACUACGUGCCAGCAGCCGCGGUAAUACGUAGGUGGCAAGCGUUGUCCGGAUUUACUGGGCGUAAAGGAUGCGUAGGCGGAUUUUUAAGUGAGAUGUGAAAACCCUAAGCUUAACUUGGGGACUGCAUUUCAUACUGGAAAUCUAGAGUGCGGGAGAGGAGAAUGGAAUUCCUAGUGUAGCGGUGAAAUGCGUAGAGAUUAGGAAGGACACCAGUGGCGAAGGCGAUUCUCUGGACCGUAACUGACGCUGAGGCAUGAAAGCGUGGGUAGCAAACAGGAUUAGAUACCCUGGUAGUCCACGCCGUAAACGAUGAGUACUAGGUGUAGGAGGUAUCGACCCCUUCUGUGCCGCAGUUAACACAAUAAGUACUCCGCCUGGGAAGUACGAUCGCAAGAUUAAAACUCAAAUGAAUUGACGGGGUCAUAGCUGUUUCCU